CUCAGUUAUCUCUCCUAUGAAAAAGCUCAGUGGAAUCCUAGAAAAAAUAAUCUACGAGCUCUGAGAUUUUCCAGAGGGUACCCACGGAAAAGGAGGAACAAAGACUGAUCAGAAGUUGAGUAAAUAUCCUCUGAGGCCCCUGAUUAUCCCGACAUUGACGAAAGAAAGGCUAGCCAAGAUCUGUCACUCUUACUAUACGGAAGUCCCGGCUCUGAUGAUUCAUAGUUAAAUAUUUGCAUCUCCUCUGGCUAAGAAAAAUAAAAGCUGUAACAUUCCACAGCCUUUAACCGUGUAAGAUCUAGAGAAGUAUUUCUCUUUAGACACUGGUAAGGGAUAAGGCCCUGUUUCACAAAAGCAAGACCUGUUAAAUGGGCAGGAAGUAGAGUAGCUAGCUAUCUGGUUGGAAUUCAGAAGGUAUGUCAAGGCCAACAAAGUAAUUGUUAAAAUGGAUUAUUCAUGUUUUGAUACUUUGAUAGAUCUGUUUUCUGUUCUCUAGCAGAAGCAAGCGAGAUGAAGUAUGGUAAGUGUUAUGAAUAAAGAAAGGGGAAAAUACAGAUAAGUUCUUUCUCCAAAUCUACACAGGAGGCUGAGUAUGCAAACUUCAGACACCAGUAGUCAGGGCCUAAGUUGGGCUCCAUGUCAGCAACACUUUUUGGUGGGUGACUUAAAUGUACUUCUCUCACAACAGCCCUGAAAAUUCAGUGUUGUUAUUUCUCUUUCACAGAUAAGAAAAUGAAGGCUAGGAAAGAGCAAUCAUCAGUAGUUGGUGUGGUCAGGAAGGUGGCGGCCAUUCACUGAGAACAAUUCUAGAAGUGCUCUGCAGACACCGCUGCCUCUGUUUGAUCAUUACCAGAGUCAAAUUUGGAUUGAGAAGACAUUGUGUUGCUGAUAAAACAAAGGGGCUCAUUGCAAAUAAAACAAAGCCACUCAAACAAACAAAAACCCAAGCAAACUGAUAUGGCAAAGAAAGAGAAGCCCGAGCUACUAGAAAAGCACAUCACAUAAAGAG
rnacentral:lncRNA from 1 species